UACGUAGGCAGCGAGCGUUGUUCGGAGUUACUGGGCGUAAAGGGUGUGUAGGCGGUUGUUUAAGUUUGGUGUGAAAUCUCCCCGGCUCAACUGGGAGGGUGCGCCGAAUACUGAAUGACUUCGAGUGCGGGAGAGGAGAGUGGAAUUCCUGGUGUAGCGGUGAAAUGCGUAGAUAUCAGGAGGAACACCGGUGGCGAAGGCGGGUCUCUGGGCAAUAACUGACGCUGAGGAGCGAAAGCGUGGGGAGCGAACAGG
rnacentral:rRNA from 1 species